UUCCCAAGUGCUAGGAUUAAAGGCAUGAGCCGCCACUACCCAGCUCUCAUUGCUUCUCCUUAACAGUCUUCCUAGUUACGAGGUCACCUCCACAAAGUACACACGUGAUAUUUACAAAGAGCUCCUCAUCUCCUUGGUGGCCUCACUCUUCAUGGGCUUUGGAGUCCUCUUCCUCCUGCUCUGGGUUGGCAUCUAUGUAUGAGUUCCCAAGGGUACCCACCAGGCAGCUUCACCAAGUCCCUGCUUUUGUAAAUUAAUUUUUUACAUUGCUACAAGUAUCCCACCUGCUGUUUACAAUAAAGGCAGAUGUGUGACA